UAUUCUGCCCCACGGGGAAGGAUGAGAAGCUUCGACUAAGGUUCGACUCGAGCGAAGCGAGAGAACGUUGCCGCUGGCAAGUAGGCCCGAAGGCGAGGCGCUUUAGCGCCGAGUAAUCCUUCCCCCACCACUG
rnacentral:sRNA from 1 species